rnacentral:pre_miRNA from 8 species
CACACACACAUCACACUGCCGGCCUCUGCGUCCCUGAGACCCUUUAACCUGUGAGGACGUCCAGGGUCACAGGUGAGGUUCUUGGGAGCCUGGCGUCCGGCCCAACCACCAGCCUGGGGC